UACGUAGGGGGCAAGCGUUAUCCGGAAUCACUGGGCGUAAAGGGUGCGUAGGCGGCCUUACAAGUCAGAGGUGAAAGGCUACGGCUUAACCGUAGUAAGCCUUUGAAACUGUAGGGCUUGAGUGCAGGAGAGGAGAGUGGAAUUCCUAGUGUAGCGGUGAAAUGCGUAGAUAUUAGGAGGAACACCAGUGGCGAAGGCGACUUACUGGACUAAAACUGACGCUGAGGUACGAAAGCGGGGGGAGC
rnacentral:rRNA from 1 species